GUAAACCUAACCUUGGAGGAGGUUGGUGCCCUGGAUGGCCACUUCCGGGGAUGCCGGAAGAUACCGCUUCUCCACUGGCAAACAGCGCCGUGCCUUUGAAAUGGAGACAAACCACAUAAUCGAAGAUGGUGGGUGUGUCUCAGCUGCCCUGCUCCUAGGCGCCCCUUCUGGUGUACGCCCCCCCUGCACGCCCUGCUGCUGCCCCAGGAAGGGCAGGCAUCAAGCACAGCAUUUCAUUCUCACAGCAAACCCAUGAGGACCACAGUACCAUCUCUUCUACAGAUAAAGAAACCAAGACAUAGACAGGGUAAGAGCAUUUUCCUAAGACUCCUCUGCCAAGUGACAGUCUGGACCUUGUGCCAGGCCUGACUGACCAGAGCCUCUUCAUAAGAUGUUCCAAGAGGAGUGACGGAGAGAUGCCAAGGGUCAAGACAGCAGCUUGGUGGGGCUGAGGGUAAGGAGGAGGGGAGUAGCCAGAAUACAUCACCCUUGGCCCUCUUUAAUUGCUUUGGGUCCCCUGCUCUCCCUCCC
rnacentral:lncRNA from 1 species